rnacentral:rRNA from 1 species
AACCUGGCAGAGAUGCCGGGGUGCCUUCGGGAACCGUGACACAGGUGCUGCAUGGCUGUCGUCAGCUCGUGUCGUGAGAUGUUGGGUUAAGUCCGCAACGAGCGCAACCCUUGUCCCUAGUUGCCAUCAUUGAGUUGGGAACUCUAGGGAGACUGCCGGUGACAAACCGGAGGAAGGUGGGGAUGACGUCAAGUCCUCAUGGCCCUUACGGCCAGGGCUACACACGUACUACAAUGGUCGGUACAGAGGGUUGCGAUACCGCGAGGUGGAGCCAAUCCCAGAAAGCCGAUCCCAGUCCGGAUCGGAGUCUGCAACUCGACUCCGUGAAGUCGGAAUCGCUAGUAAUCGCGAAUCAGCCAUGUCGCGGUGAAUACGUUCCCGGGCCUUGUACACACCGCCCGUCACACCAUGGGAGUGGGCUGCUCCAGAAGCCGUUAGCCUAACCGCAAGGAGGGCGACGACCACGGAGUGGUUCAUGACUGGGGUGAAGUCGUAACAAGGUAGGCGUAGUGCU